GUCCCAGUGGCUCAAUGGUCUAAGAGCUUGCCUUGUAACCAGAAGGUCCUGGGUUCGAAUCCCGGUGGGUGCG
rnacentral:tRNA from 1 species